rnacentral:rRNA from 1 species
CAUGUCUUUUUGUAUUUAAUAUAAAGUCUAAUCUGCCCACUGAUAUAUUUAUUAAAUGGCCGCAGUAUUUUAACUGUGCAAAGGUAGCAUAAUCAGUAGUCUUUUAAUUGAAGACUUGUAUGAAUGAUUGAACGAAAUAUAAACUGUCUUAAAAAAAGUAAUUUGAAUUUUAUUUUUUAGUCAAAAAGCUAAACUAAUUUUAAAAGACGAGAAGACCCUAUAGAUCUUUAUAAAAAUAUUAUUUAUUUUUUAAAGUUUAUAAUUUAAAUUUAUAUUUAUUUUUAUUUUAUUGGGGUGAUAUUGAAAUUUAAUUAACUUUCAUUAGUUAUUAAACAUUAAUUUAUGAAUGAUUGAUCCUUUAUUAUUGAUUAAAAAUUUAAGUUACCUUAGGGAUAACAGCGUAAUUAUUUUGGAGAGUUCUUAUUGAUAAAAUAGAUUGCGACCUCGAUGUUGGAUUAAGAUUAAUUCUGGGUGUAGCAGUUCAGAGUAUUAAGUCUGUUCGACUUUUAAUUUCU